AAGGAAAAGAGCGCUCUAAGGAAAAUAGGGGGUAAGUUGCCAAGUUUUUCUUGGAGCUCUCAGGGUCUCACCACAACUGAGAGGUGCACGUGCACAAGAAAAGGAGCUGGAUGAGUUUUCUGGGUCUUGGAUUACAGAAAUGGAUGAGAUGUUCUCCUUGUCUUGGGCUUCAAACCAUUCCUAAGUAAAAAUAUUUUGACGGGGCGUUUGGAUCCCUUCAUUUUAGAGAAAUUUGAAUUCACUCAAUAAAGUAACUUAUUUAGUUUGGAAUUUGACAUUCCACCACUUUCCAAAGUUCACAUAUAAGCCUAUCUCAAAUUAAUGAGGUGGAGGAUGAGAAAUGAUUUUAUGCAUUAGUAGAAUUUGUUUCUACUCCGUAACUUACAUGACACUCUUCAUCUCACUCAUCUAUAGUAAAAAUGUAGCACAUAAAUAUCUCCGUCAUCUUGCUACUAAUAGUAUAUAAAUAUAUUUUGCAUAAAACUGAAUUAGCUUAAUUGAUAUAUGCCUAAAUUACUAUUAUUAGAAUGGAAUUCAAUUCCAACGAUCCAAACGGGGCGUGAGUGUAAUUCUUUUUAACGCUAUUUUCCCUGGGAAUUGUCUUUUGUUAUCUGAGUUGUACAGAGCUGACAUUUUCCUGCUCUUUCUGGAAUAGAUCCGUAUGGUUUCUU
rnacentral:lncRNA from 7 species